CUCCAAUAGCGUAUAUUUAAGUUGCUGCAGUUAAAAAGCUCGUAGUUGGAUUUCGGGUGGGCGGCGUCGGUCCGCCGUUUCGGUGUGCACUGGCGGCGCCACCUUGUUGCCGGGGACGGGCUCCUGGGAUUCACUGUCCGGGACUCGGAGUCGGCGAGGUUACUUUGAGUAAAUUAGAGUGUUCAAAGCAGGCCACCGCU
rnacentral:rRNA from 1 species